UACGUAGGCAGCGAGCGUUGUUCGGAGUUACUGGGCGUAAAGGGUGUGUAGGCGGUUGUUUAAGUUUGGUGUGAAAUCUCCGGCUCAACUGGGAGGUGCGCCGAAUACUGAAUGACUUGGAGUGCGGGAGAGGAAAGUGGAAUUCCUGGUGUAGCGGUGAAAUGCGUAGAUAUCAGGAGGAACACCGGUGGUGUAGACGGCUUUCUGGACCGUAACUGACGCUGAGACACGAAAGCGUGGGUAGCAAACAGG
rnacentral:rRNA from 1 species